UCAACCAUCAAGCCUAGCUUGUCGUUGGACCUCUUUUGCCACUGAAAUAUAUGUGGCAGGUCCGAAAGAAAAUGACGGUGUCGUGUUUGACCCUAGAUGCAACGAGCUUUUCAUAGCACGCAUUGAAGUGGUCGGGCGACCUAGUCUUAACUAUUUUUUCUAAA
rnacentral:misc_RNA from 1 species